UACGUAGGGUGCAAGCGUUGUCCGGAAUUACUGGGCGUAAAGCGUGCGUAGGCGGUUUGUUAAGUCCGUUGUGAAAGCCCUGGGCUCAACCUGGGAAUUGCAGUGGAUACUGGCGAGCUAGAGUGCGGUAGAGGAUGGUGGAAUUCCCGGUGUAGCGGUGAAAUGCGUAGAGAUCGGGAGGAACACCCGUGGCGAAGGCGGCCAUCUGGACCAGCACUGACGCUGAGGAGCGAAAGCCAGGGGAGCAAACGGG
rnacentral:rRNA from 1 species